rnacentral:lncRNA from 1 species
GCCCUUUUUGAUGAACCUAAUAGAAAAUAAAUAUGCAUAGAUAAAUGUCACAUACCAGAAACCAGUGAACAACCCCUAUACACCCACAUAUAACCCAGGAUGGAGGAAUCAUUCAAACUUCUCAUGGUCAUAGAAUUUAAAUAUAGGCGGUCCUAACUUCAACCAGCAAAAUCGAAGGCCUAACCCUGUGACAAACAACCCACCAGACUUCAAUAAUAAUG